rnacentral:rRNA from 1 species
AGUGAACGCUGGCGGUAGGCCUAACACAUGCAAGUCGAACGGCAGCACAGUAAGAGCUUGCUCUUACGGGUGGCGAGUGGCGGACGGGUGAGGAAUACAUCGGAAUCUACUUUUUCGUGGGGGAUAACGUAGGGAAACUUACGCUAAUACCGCAUACGACCUACGGGUGAAAGCAGGGGAUCUUCGGACCUUGCGCGAUUGAAUGAGCCGAUGUCGGAUUAGCUAGUUGGCUGGGUAAAGGCCCACCAAGGCGACGAUCCGUAGCUGGUCUGAGAGGAUGAUCAGCCACACUGGAACUGAGACACGGUCCAUACUCCUACGGGAGGCAGCAGUGGGGAAUAUUGGACAAUGGGCGCAAGCCUGAUCCAGCCAUACCGCGUGGGUGAAGAAGGCCUUCGGGUUGUAAAGCCCUUUUGUUGGGAAAGAAAAGCAGCAGGUUAAUACCCCGCUGUUCUGACGGUACCCAAAGAAUAAGCACCGGCUAACUUCGUG